GACAUCAGUCAGCCAUUCCAUUUCUGCUUAGUUUGUCUGGAUGACCUACUUGUUGUCAAGAGUGAAGUAUUGAAGACCCCACUAUUGGUUUUUCUCAGGCUUUAAUGCUUGGAUUUAAGGAUCUCCAUGAGGAAAAAGUACUUCCCUGCAACGCUUCUGACCUUUGGAACAGUGAGAAGAUACAAUACUCUAUGAGGAGGUGAUUCAUCCAGCAAGAGGUAAUUCAUCCAUGACUCCCAAGUCAUGACUACUGGCCACAAUAGGAUCAAAAUGUUGUUAGUGGCCCAAUUUUAACAGCAGCUGAAAUCAAAUGGAUGGGCUAAGUUACAGACCAGAAAACCUGAUGAGCAAGCCAAGAGAAACAAGACAGUAAGCAGCACUGCUCCAUGGCUUCUGCGUCAGCUCCUGCCUCCAAGAUCCUGCCCUGUUUGAGUUCCUGUCCUGACUUCCUUCAGUGAAGAACAGCAAUGUGGAAGUGUAAACCAAAUAAACCCUUUCCUCCCAAGA